CCUACGGGAGGCAGCAGUGGGGAAUAUUGGGCAAUGGAGGCAACUCUGACCCAGCAACGCCGCGUGAAUGAUGAAGGUCUUCGGAUUGUAAAGUUCUUUUGUAAGGGACGAAGAAAGUGACGGUACCUUAGGAAUAAGCCUCGGCUAACUACGUGCCAGCAGCCGCGGUAAUACGUAGGGGGCAAGCGUUAUCCGGAUUUACUGGGUUUAAAGGGUGCGUAGGCGGGACUGCAAGUCAGCUGUGAAAACCACGGGCUCAACCUCCGGCGUGCCGUUGAAACUGUCGUUCUUGAGUAGUCGAGAGGCAGACGGAAUUCCUAGUGUAGCGGUGAAAUGCUUAGAUAUUAGGAAGAACACCAGUGGCGAAGGCAGUAUGCUGGCCAGCAUCUGACGCUGAGGCGCGAAAGCGUGGGUAGCAAACAGGAUUAGAUACCCUUGUAGUC
rnacentral:rRNA from 1 species